rnacentral:misc_RNA from 1 species
ACCCUUGACCACGGUAUAGUCAGCGACUGGGGUGAAGUCGUAACAAGGUAGCCGUAGGGGAACCUGCGGCUGGAUUACCUCCUUUCUAAGGAUGAAUGAAAGUAAAAUUUCAUUCUAAAUAAUAUACAUAGGUAAUGUUGACCGUCCUCAUUUCUCUUCUUAAAGUAAUGUUUCCUUCUUGUAGGGCCGGUAGCUCAGUUGGUUAGAGCACACCCUUGAUAAGGGUGGGGUCGAAAGUUCGAGUCUUUCUCGGCCCACCACACUUAACUGGGGGAUUAGCUCAGCUGGGAGAGCGCCUGAUUUGCAUUCAGGAGGUCAGCGGUUCGAUCCCGCUAUCCUCCACCAGGAAACAUUUAGUUAUAAAAAAUUGUGAAUAAAUUUAAUAAUUAAUAUCAAUAUCUAUAUCCGAACAUUAGUAAUGUUAUUAGCUAAUGUUCAAAAUAAAAAUUUGAUUCAACACAGAAUUUUUUUCUGUGCAUAAAUCAAGCGUUUAAGGGCGUGUAGUGGAUGCCUUGGCACUGAAAGCCGAUGAAGGACGUGAUAUACUGCGAUAAGUUUCGGGGAGCUGUAUGUAAGUUUUGAUCCGAAAAUUU